rnacentral:tRNA from 1 species
GCGGGCGUGGCGAAACUGGUAGACGCAACGGACUUAAGCGCGCCAAAUUGAGUGCUCUUCGGGAAACCGGAGAAGUAGAACUGCUCAAAGUCGGGGAAACCUCGCAAGUGGCGAUCCCGAGCCAAGCCCGUCCGAAGGAACAUUCGGCGGGAAGGUGUAGAGACUAGACGGGCAGCACCUAAAGCGGACGCCUUCACCGGCGAACGCCACGGUGAAGGGAUAGUCCAGACCACAAACUUGCCUGAUCGCGCGGACGCGCAAGGCAAGGCGGCGAAAGCCGUAGUCGGUACGAAAAUCCGUAGGGCCGCAAGGCCUGUGCCGGUUCGAUUCCGGCCGCCCGCACCA